GACGGGGGCAGUAAAUAGGAGAAAAUAAACAGAUUCGGGGCAGGAAACGGGGCAAGUUUUACGAUCCGAGACGGAUUCGGGGCAGGAAAUGGGAAAAUUUUUGACCCGCCCCGAAUCCGCCCCGAAUCCGCCCCGAAUAUCAUUUGUAUUUUUAAAAAAUAUUUCUAAAAAAUAAUAUAUUUACAAAAAAAAAGUUCAAAAUACAAAUAAGUUAUUACUCUCAUUUCUAAUGUAUUUGAAACAUUUGAAUUUUGUUUUGAAUUGUGAUUCAUAUUUUUAAUUUUUACCAUUAAUAUUGUUAAAUUAUAUAUAUAAUAUUAUUAAAAAUUAUUAAUUUAUAUUUUACAAAAUAUUAAUAAUAUUAUAAUUUUAUAAAAAAUAUUAGUUGGCGGGGCGGAUUCGGGGCGCCGGCGGGAGGCGGGUUACGAGGCGGGGCGGAUUAUGGGAUGUAUUUUUUAACCCGUCACGGAUUCGGGGCGGGAGGUGGGGCGGAUUUUUGCUAGUCGGGGCGGGAGGCGGGGCGGGUCUCCCGCCCCCAGAUCCG
rnacentral:lncRNA from 1 species